UCCUCGGUAGCUCAAUGGUGGAGCAUCUGACUGUUAAUCAGAGGGUUGCAGGUUCGAGUCCUGCCCGAGGAGCUA
rnacentral:tRNA from 1 species